UCCGCGGUAGUAUAUUGGCGAGUAUUCCUGCCUGUCACGCAGGAGACUCGAGUUCAAUACCCGGCCUCGGAA